AACGCGAAGAACCUUACCUACCCUUGACAUCCUUGGAAGUCUGCAGAGAUGUGGACGUGCCUGAAAGGGAGCCGAGAGACAGGUGCUGCAUGGCUGUCGUCAGCUCGUGUCGUGAGAUGUUGGGUUAAGUCCCGUAACGAGCGCAACCCUUAUUCCUAGUUACCAUCGAGAAAGUUGGGGACUCUAGGAAGACUGCCGGUGCUAAACCGGAGGAAGGUGGGGAUGACGUCAAGUCCUCAUGGCCCAUAUGGGUAGGGCUACACACGUGCUACAAUGGACGGUACAGAGGGAAGCGAAGUCGCGAGGCGGAGCGGAUCUUGAAAAGCCGUUCGUAGUUCGGAUUGGAGUCUGCAACUCGACUCCAUGAAGUUGGAAUCGCUAGUAAUCGCCGAUCAGCAUGCGGCGGUGAAUACGUUCUCGGGCCUUGUACACACCGACGCGUA
rnacentral:rRNA from 1 species